AUUGAACGCUGGCGGCAUGCCUUACACAUGCAAGUCGAACGGCAGCACGGGUGCUUGCACCUGGUGGCGAGUGGCGAACGGGUGAGUAAUACAUCGGAACGUACCUUAUCGUGGGGGAUAACGCAGCGAAAGCUGUGCUAAUACCGCAUACGCCCUGAGGGGGAAAGCGGGGGAUCGAAAGACCUCGCGCGAUUAGAGCGGCCGAUGCCUGAUUAGCUUGUUGGUGGGGUAAAAGCCCACCAAGGCGACGAUCAGUAGCUGGUCUGAGAGGACGAUCAGCCACACCGGGACUGAGACACGGCCCAGACUCCUACGGGAGGGAGCAGUGGGGAAUUUUGGACAAUGGGGGCAACCCUGAUCCAGCAAUGCCGCGUGAGGGAAGAAGGCCUUCGGGUUGUAAAGCUCUUUUGUCAGGGAAGAAACACCGGCUCUAACACAGUCCGGGAAUGACGGUACCUGAAGAAUAAGCACCGGCUAACUACGUGCCAGCCGCCGCGGUAA
rnacentral:rRNA from 1 species